CCUACGGGAGGCAGCAGUGGGGAAUAUUGCGCAAUGGGCGAAAGCCUGACGCAGCGACGCCGCGUGAGGGAUGAAGGUCUUCGGAUCGUAAACCUCUGUCAGCAGGGACGAACGGUCACUGUGCUAAUCAGCAGUGAAUUGACGGUACCUGCAAAGGAAGCACCGGCUAACUCCGUGCCAGCAGCCGCGGUAAUACGGAGGGUGCGAGCGUUAAUCGGAAUUACUGGGCGUAAAGCGCUCGUAGGCGGUAUGUCAAGUCAAGGGUGAAAUCCCCGCGCUCAACGUGGGAACUGCCUUUGAAACUGGCAAACUGGAGUGUGUGAGAGGAUAGUGGAAUUCCAGGUGUAGGAGUGAAAGCCGUAGAUAUCUGGAGGAACAUCAGUGGCGAAGGCGACUAUCUGGCACAUAACUGACGCUGAGGAGCGAAAGCGUGGGUAGCAAACAGGAUUAGAUACCCCGGUAGUC
rnacentral:rRNA from 1 species